rnacentral:sRNA from 1 species
GGAGGAAAGCAAUAGGGUAAACACACACACUUCACCACACAUACUUUCAAGACUCCAUUAAGUCAGCUUUAUUUAGUAAGGUCAGAACCAUUCCUGACCGCUGAGAGCACUCGUUUCAGGUUCUUGAGGCUGGCUGUCUCAGCGGGUGGCAGAGUCCCACAAUGGCUGUCUCUCGCUGAGCAAGGUCUGACAAUGGAUGGUUGCUCAAAGCAUCAGAAACCUUCUGCCAGUGAGGUUUCAUACGCAGGUGAUUGUAAUUUGCAGUGAGUCGACCUUAAAACCAACGGUAGUGAACGUCACCCUGUGGGUCUGUUGGGAGUUAAAUGAGAUGGUGCAGCUAGAUCCGGAAUUCGGCGCUCAGGAGAGCUCAGAGGAUGGCCUUCCUGGUUAGCCGGCAUUCAUCAGGAUGACAGCUCACUGUGCUGUCACUCUUCCUGGGUGGUUUUUUUAUUUCACAUUUUCAUAACAGUCUCUGAUGAUUUCAUUCGAAGGAGGAAGGUCUCUGGGAGUUUCCUGUGUGCACAAUGGGGUCACCAGGUUUCCCUAGGCAUGUACCCAAGGAUGCCACCACCAUAUUUGCUUUGGUAUUUAAAAUAAAGGCCACACUGAAUCUCGUGCUUUCGUUGUAACCAAA